UACGUAGGGUGCGAGCGUUAAUCGGAAUUACUGGGCGUAAAGCGUGCGCAGGCGGUUUUGUAAGUCUGACGUGAAAGCCCCGGGCUCAACCUGGGAAUUGCGAUGGAGACUGCAAGGCUUGAAUCUGGCAGAGGGGGGUAGAAUUCCACGUGUAGCAGUGAAAUGCGUAGAGAUGUGGAGGAACACCGAUGGCGAAGGCAGCCCCCUGGGUCAAGAUUGACGCUCAUGCACGAAAGCGUGGGGAGCAAACAGG
rnacentral:rRNA from 1 species